rnacentral:rRNA from 1 species
AGUGAACGCUGGCGGUAGGCCUAACACAUGCAAGUCGAACGGCAGCACAGUAAGAUCUUGCUCUUACGGGUGGCGAGUGGCGGACGGGUGAGGAAUACAUCGGAAUCUACUUUUUCGUGGGGGAUAACGUAGGGAAACUUACGCUAAUACCGCAUACGACCUACGGGUGAAAGCAUGGGAUCUUCGGACCUUGCGCGAUUGAAUGAGCCGAUGUCGGAUUAGCUAGUUGGCGGGGUAAAGGCCCACCAAGGCGACGAUCCGUAGCUGGUCUGAGAGGAUGAUCAGCCACACUGGAACUGAGACACGGUCCAGACUCCUACGGGAGGCAGCAGUGGGGAAUAUUGGACAAUGGGCGCAAGCCUGAUCCAGCCAUACCGCGUGGGUGAAGAAGGCCUUCGGGUUGUAAAGCCCUUUUGUUGGGAAAGAAAAGCAGCAGGUUAAUACCCCGCUGUUCUGACGGUACCCAAAGAAUAAGCACCGGCUAACUUCGUG